rnacentral:rRNA from 1 species
GAUGAACGCUAGCGACAGGCUUAACACACGCAAGUCGAGGGGCAGCACGGGAGUAGCAAUACAACUGGUGGCGACCGGCGCACGGGUGAGUAACGCGUAUGCAACCUACCUAUCAGAGGGGAAUAACCCGGCGAAAGUCGGACUAAUACCGCAUAAAACAGGGGCACCGCAUGGUGAUAUUUGUUAAGGAAAUUCGCUGAUAGAUGGGCAUGCGUUCCAUUAGGUAGUUGGUGAGGUAACGGCUCACCAAGCCGACGAUGGAUAGGGGAACUGAGAGGUUGGUCCCCCACACUGGUACUGAGACACGGACCAGACUCCUACGGGAGGCAGCAGUGAGGAAUAUUGGUCAAUGGGCGAGAGCCUGAACCAGCCAAGUCGCGUGAAGGAAGAAGGAUCUAUGGUUCGUAAACUUCUUUUGCAGGGGAAUAAAAUGCAGGACGUGUCCUGUUUUGUAUGUACCCUGAGAAUAAGGAUCGGCUAACUCCGUGCCAGCAGCCGCAGUAAAAC